CUACGGGAGGCUCCAGUAAGGAAUAUUGCGCAAUGGAGGCAACUCUGACGCAGCCAUGCCGCGUGCAGGAAGAAGGCCUUAUGGGUCGUAAACUGCUUUUAUUUAGGAAUAAACCCCCGAACGUGUUCGGGGCUGAAGGUACUAAACGAAUAAGCACCGGCUAACUCCGUGCCAGCAGCCGCGGUAAUACGGAGGGUGCGAGCGUUAUCCGGAUUUAUUGGGUUUAAAGGGUGCGCAGGCGGGCUAUUAAGUCAGUGGUGAAAUCCCGGGGCUCAACUCCGGAACUGCCAUUGAUACUGAUAGUCUUGAGUUUGGUUGAAGUGGGCGGAAUGUAGCAUGUAGCGGUGAAAUGCAUAGAUAUGCUACAGAACACCAAUCGCGAAGGCAGCUCACUAGGCCAAAACUGACGCUCAUGCACGAAAGCGUGGGGAUCAAACAGGAUUAGAUACCCUUGUAGUC
rnacentral:rRNA from 1 species